CUGGGCUCUCACUUGUAGGGGUGCCCAGCUGGACCUACAGGGACAGGCACAGAGGCAAAUAUCUCAGCUCCCAGAACACCCACAGCCCUGGUGGCCUUGGGUCCCACCAGGCCCUCCGGCCGCUCCCUCUGGUCGGUCGCCCCAGCUCACUGCAGCUCCCCUCCUCCCAGCACCAGGGCCCUCGCGCUGUCGCCUGCACCCUGUAUAAACACAGACGCCUUGCAGUGCUUACAUUCUGGCCUGACCUCUCCAGGCCCCCACAACCCUGGCUCUCACUUUAGCACCAUUUAAAAUAAUUUAUUUGAAAAGGUAGCGUUCGGAGAGGGAGGACAGGCAGACGGCUCUUCCAUGCACUAGUCACUCCCCAAAUGGCCGUAACCGUCGGGCUGGACCAGGCCAAAGCCAGCAGCCGGGAUCUCUAGCACUCGUCCGUCUGCUGCUGCUUUCCCAGGCCGUUAGCAGGAAGCUGGACGGGAAGUGGUGCGGCGGGGACUCAAACCAUCGCUCCCAUAGGAUGCCGGCGCUGCAGACGCUAAAUCCUGACAGCCUCAUGGAGCCAGAGCCCACCAGGCUCCCGGAAUCUGGAGCCCCCAGGCCCCCUGUGGAACCAAGGACCUCGUGUCCGGCGACCGAGGCCUCGGAGGAGCGGAAGUUCCGGGUCCUGGUGGGUGUCACGGGCAGUGUGGCGGCCUUGAAGCUUCCUCUCUUGGUGUCGGGGCUUCUGGACGUGCCCGGGCUGGAAGUUGCAGUGGUCACAACUGAGAGAGCCAAACACUUCUACAGCCCCCAGGACGUGGCCGCCACCCUCUACAGCGACGCUGACGAGUGGGAGAUGUGGAAGCAGCGCUGUGACCCGGUGCUGCACAUUGACCUGCGGAGGUGGGCCGACCUCAUGCUGGUGGCCCCGCUGGACGCCAACACCCUGGGGAAGGUGGCCAGCGGCAUCUGUGACAACUUGCUUACCUGUGUAAUCCGGGCCUGGGACCGCAGCAAGCCCCUGCUCUUCUGCCCGGCAAUGAACACGGCCAUGUGGGAGCACCCAGUCACCGCCCAGCAGGUGGACCAGCUCAAGGCCUUCGGCUACAUCGAGAUCCCCUGCGUGGCAAAGAAGCUGGUGUGUGGAGACCAAGGUCUGGGGGCCAUGGCGGAGGUGGAGACCAUUGUGGACAAAGUGAGAGAAAUCCUGUCUCAGCACGAUGGCGUCCAGCAUGGUUGAACUGGGGUUUCUGUGCCGUGUGGCCUCUGCGCUUGGCCGAGCUGCGAAGAAGGGAGGCGUCCACCCUUGGUGAAGAGGCCCGUGUUUGCUGAGUAGGGCUCUGAGCUGGGCCCGCCCUGGAGCUGCCCCAGGCCCUGGCCUGCUCCUGGCUACACGGCAUCAGAGGCUUUGGGCCUGGCUUCUCCCAGAGGACGCCUGCUGCCUGCAGCCCCUCCCUGCCUGUUCCCAGAGUGGUGCCGUGACGGUGGCUGUGUUGUCCCUGUGCUCCUGGGCACAGGACUGAGUGACGGGAGACCUGGGGGUCCUGGCGGGGUGGGUCACUUGGUGAGGGGCCUAAGUGCCCGCCGGCAGGACGUGGUGUCCACUGACCGUGCUGUGAACCUGGGGUGCUGGGAAUAAACAGUGACCUUCUCGGGAAGGGUCUGGGCUGACGCUGGCUGGCCGAUGCCCCUGCAUCCCCGUUCCCUGCUCGGUUCAGCGCCCUGCUGGCCCCGACUGGCGCUUCCCCGCCGUCCUACACUCGUGGAGGUGUGGGGAGGACCGAGGGAGAGAAAAUGUGUGGAGUACAGCGGCCCCCGGCCCCGCCCCAGCACCUGCCUGGAGUCUCGAGGCCUGAACCCCUCGUGCCGUUUGCUCCUGGACCCACAUCGCUUUCUGCAAGUACAGGGGCCCGUGCUCCGUGUGGCCACCGUCCCGGGCGAGAAUGUCCCCUAGAGAAGAUGCCUGCCUUGCUGCUGCUGCUUCUCGCGUUCUGCAAAGCUGAGAGAAGAGAGCAUUUGAAACACGCACGCUCAUCGGCAGCGGGGGACAGUCAGGGCUGCUGGUGAGAGGCCCCGCCUCCACACUGCCUCCACCCUGGGCCGCCUCCCACUCCUCUGCCUGGUCAGGUCCUCAGCUGCCUCCCCACUGCCGCAGGGUAAGGCCCUGAUGCCCACCCUUCCAGCUUUGCCUCGGACCCCUGGCCAGCCGGGCAGGGCAGCCAGCUCUCUGGCCAUACUGCACCACCUGAAUGAGCCACGUCACUUCUUGCCUCUUGGGUCUGCACACGUGGCUGCUUUUACUGGAAGGCCAGGGCUGGCCAGGGCCCUGCCGUGCUCGCCUCCAUCGGGGAGCCCUCCCUGGCCAGCUCCAGCUGGCGAGGUGUCCUUGACUCUCACACAUCCCCGUGUGCUCGUAUGACGUUGUUAUGACGCAGAACGCAGUGGCCAGUUGGCCUCCUGUCCCUCUGAAACCGGGAUCCCUGGAGAGCAGGAGCUGUCUAGUUGUCCAAGGAGCCCAGCCCGCCGUGCCCAGCUCAUCGGAGGGCAGCACCCUUUCCUCUGAGCAGGACACACAACCCGCCUGAAAGCAGAAACCAAUCAAUCUGACUGCAGAAGAGUAAACAGUCCCGCUGAGCAGUGGCUCAAAGACAAACAGCCAAUGGGGAAAUGACCUUCAGCCCUGAGAACAAAGGGCUGACUCCCCAACGCCCGGCCUUCCCCAGGUUCACGGAGAACGUGCGUGAUGAAGAGACUACGCAUGGGUUUUAUAGGUUUUUGCACCAAAAAACACUUUCUUUACUUUAAAAAAUAUAUAUGUAUAUUUAUUUGAAAGGCAAAAUGACAGAUCUUUCCUCUGCUGGUCCACUCCCCAAAUAGUUUGCCCACAAUGGCCAGGACUGGGCCAGGCCAAAGCCAGGAGCCUUAAACCCCAUCCAAGUCUCCCGCGUGGGGAAGUGCCCUGGCCAUCGUCCUCUGCUUUCCCCGGAGCACUAGCU